CGGGCCAUAGCGCAGGGGCAGCGCGCUUGCAUGGGGUGCAAGAGGCCGUGGGUUCAAAUCCCACUGGCCCGACCA
rnacentral:tRNA from 1 species